GGCUGACUAGCUUAGUUUGUUGGAGCGUCGUGCUCAUAACACGAAUGGUUUGGGUUGAAUUCCCAUAUUGGUCA
rnacentral:tRNA from 1 species